UCAUCUUCGGGGGUAGAGCACUGUUUCGGCUAGGGGGUCAUCCCGACUUACCAACCCGAUGCAAACUACGAAUACCGAAGAAUGUUAUCACGGGAGACACACGGCGGGUGCUAACGUCCGUCGUGAAGAGGGAAACAACCCAGACCGCCAGCUAAGGUCCCAAAGUCAUGGUUAAGUGGGAAACGAUGUGGGAAGGCACAGACAGCCAGGAUGUUGGCUUAGAAGCAGCCAUCAUUUAAAGAAAGCGUAAUAGCUCACUGGUCGAGUCGGCCUGCGCGGAAGAUGUAACGGGGCUAAACCAUGCACCGAAGCUGCGGCAGCGACACUAUGUGUUGUUGGGUAGGGGAGCGUUCUGUAAGCCUGCGAAGGUGUGCUGUGAGGCAUGCUGGAGGUAUCAGAAGUGCGAAUGCUGACAUAAGUAACGAUAAAGCGGGUGAAAAGCCCGCUCGCCGGAAGACCAAGGGUUCCUGUCCAACGUUAAUCGGGGCAGGGUGAGUCGACCCCUAAGGCGAGGCCGAAAGGCGUAGUCGAUGGGAAACAGGUUAAUAUUCCUGUACUUGGUGUUACUGCGAAGGGGGGACGGAGAAGGCUAUGUUAGCCGGGCGACGGUUGUCCCGGUUUAAGCAUGUAGGCUGAUUGUCCAGGCAAAUCCGGAUAAUCAAGGCUGAGGUGUGAUGACGAGGCACUACGGUGCUGAAGUAACAAAUGCCCUGCUUCCAGGAAAAGCCUCUAAGCAUCAGGUAACAUUAAAUCGUACCCCAAACCGACACAGGUGGUCAGGUAGAGAAUACCAAGGCGCUUGAGAGAACUCGGGUGAAGGAACUAGGCAAAAUGGUGCCGUAA
rnacentral:rRNA from 1 species